GAGAGAGAGAGAGAGAGAAGCAAAGUAGGUGAUUCUGCUAUCUUAUCAGUGCUCAUUGGGGCUGGCUACAGAGUCUCUUUCUGGCAUACAUCUCUCUGGUUUGGUGCCAUCAAGCUGACCAGUCCUCUUGAGUGUCUUUUAUUGGCACUCUUAAUGUUUGUUGAUCUCUUUGUUUUUACAUCACUGUCCUCGGGUAUACAUCCCUCCCUCCUCUCCUGCCCAGUGAGCCAACUCUAGAGAUCAAGAACUUAAAAACAAACAAACAAAAAAAAAAUUCAGCAAAACUAACCAACACAGCAGCCUUGUCUAUCAGUGGGUCGAGUGCUGUGUGGUAUUUCACACUCAACAUCUUCCAAACUGAACUUAUUAUGUCAGCCCCAUUCCACCCCCUGCCAAGCUCUCUCCUUCUCUGAACCUUCCUCUUAUGCUGAGGCCACCUCCAUUCUCCAAGUCACCCAUGCUUGAAACCUUGUUAUCUUCCAUUUUUCACUCUCACUCAUCAAUGUGCUGGUAAAAGUUUAACAAUGCAUUCUUGGGAAAGUACACAGGAUACAUUUUAAAGUUUAUUCUGCAUAAUUAACGUUUUCUCCAUCGCUUUUCUAAGUCUAGACGAUCAACAAAACAAUAAAUCAAGCCCCGGUUUGUAGUAAUUGCUGAUUUCUGAAAUCUAAAUGCUCACACUGAAAAUAUAACAAUCAGUUCUUGACUGCUUAUUUUUUAACCCUUACUUUCUGUUCUAGAAUUAGUACUAAGUAUUGGUUCUAAGACAGAUGAGCAGUAAAGGGAUAGGCAAUGGGGGUUAAGUGACUUGCCCAGGGUCACACAGCUAGGAAGUAUUUGAGACCACAUUUGAAUCUAGAACCACCCUGUCUCCAGGUCUGGUUUUCUUUUCUCUGAGCCACCUUGCUGCCCCUCCAGCUCACUCUUGUUCCCAUGGACCCCACAUAUCCAAUUCAUUGCCAAAUCUUAUGGUUUCUAACUUCACAACUUUUCUUGCAUCUGUCCUCUUAUCUGCACUCACGUGAUCAUCUCCCUCAUAUAGAAUCUCAUUACUUCUUGCUUGGGCUAUUACACUAAGCCCUCUAAUAAGAUUCCCUUCCUUUACUCUCUCCCCAAUUGAAUCUAUCCUUACUUAUUUGCCAACGUGAUUGCCCUGAAGUCUAAGUGUACAUGAUGGGCUUUGGCCAGGCCCUUCGGCAACCCCCAUAGAAAGACAUGCUGAUGACAGGGAACAUAGUAAGAAUUUUACUAGGUGAGAGCAGGAAAAAAAACAAGGCUGUAAAAUGUAAAAUAGACAUGCUUCAAGUCACAUAAACCCUGUCUUGACUACUCUGGAGCUGAUACAACAUCCAGGCUUGGGGGAGAAAAGCAAAUGUAGGGAGAAAAGUCAUAGGUCUUCCGAUCAGAUGAGUCCCUUGCCUUGGGCAAGCUCCUAUAAGAUCCGAAGGAGGUGGGGAUGAGCUUCACCCUGGGGAACAGAGAGAAGCAGAGAGGGAUCUAUUUACUGAUUGCAUCUGUCAUUUAUGGGGUCUGAUCUUGUGUCAUUUAUCUUUGCCCUGUGCUGAGCAUUACAUACUUAACUAAGUAAAUCCUUUUAAAUAGACUCUUUGCUUAUGAUGGAUUAGUCAUUUUCAUUAUCACAGUACUGGAGGUUAGGAUGGCUGCCUCAGACUCAAUAUAAUAGUAGAUGUGUCCUUGUUACUCUCCUCAGAUUCCUAUUACCUCCAAGAUCAAAUAUAAACUCCUCUGUUUCUCAUUCAAAGGUCUUCACAACCUGACCCCUUCCUAUUUUCUCCAGACUUUGCCUAAGUGUUUUGACAUUUUCUAAGUACCAGUGGAGAACUUGGGUUGCUUAUCUGUAUUUCCUCAUUUUUAAUUUAUGUUAUAUGACUUUUCUGAUCACACAAUUCCAUGAUGAUGUCUUUUCUGCCAUUUCUGGAGUGAAAGGUAUAAUUGGUAACAUGCUACAGCCUACUUCUGCCCAUCACGAGUCACUUACAAUUAGGUGACCUAUAAUUUUGAUUCCUUGGAGAUUUUGGUAUUCCAUGAUUCAUAAGUAUAUAACAUCACCAAAAGAAUCUUGGUGUUAAAGGCAUCAUUGAAAGUACUUCGCAAUGUCUCAAAAGCAAUUGAAUCCACUCUUUUCCAUUCCACUCUUCAAAUUCUCUUCAAUUAUGGGUCCCAUUCCUUGCCCAGCUGGAGUGACUGCCCAACUAAUUCUCAAUGACUACCUACCCAACUAUAUGUCAUCCUUGCAACAGGCAUCUUUUGUUCAUUUAGCUUUUUCUAUGUGCAUUUUUAGUCCAAGCUCCUUUGAUUUUCCUCAUUGAAGAAGCCCUGGGGCUUGGCACAAAUAGUCUGGUAUCAUUCACAAACAGGUCAUCUAGAAGAAAUUUCUCAUUCAUUUGUAUUAGGCACUGGAUAUCCUCUAUAACCAUGGCUAAUACUUUGAUGAGUGCCAUGGGCAAAGUCCAGCCUUGCCCAUGACUCCAGGGUUUCCGGACCAAUCAGUCAACAAAAAUAACAAAUGGAAGACAGCUUAAUCAUAACAGCCAUGGGAUUGCUUUGCAUGUAACAGCUGCUCUGCCAUCCUGAUGUCUGAUCUUUAUUUUUAUACCCAUUUUCUUGGCAUGCAAAUAUGCAAAAUCAAAGAGAGAUAAUUGGAAAAGUGAUACAUCAACUUUUAACAAAUCACUUGAUUAACAUCCUAUAUUUUUGUAUUGUGAUUAAAGACAGAAUAAAGGUUACACACAAGAUAAAUGAUUUCGUCACAGGUAGCUUAAUUUUCUCAUUACCCUGUGAGAAGUUUUGAGCUUACAAUCAAGGAAAAUUACUUAUUGCUUUUAAUAAAAUGGAAUAAUUAAUCAGCAGUUCUUAAAAGACAAUUCAACAAUCAUAUCACUGAGAUUGAGGGGUACUGGGAACAUAAUUCAAAUGUAGACUGGUGGCUUCUAGGGAGUUUCUCUGUUACUGAUUUGUGUAAUUGAAUCACUGAGGCAUACUGAAGCUUGAUGUACUUGUACUUAUCAAUUGGGCCUCUAUGAUUGAUUUGUGUGCUGACUUCAUGAGAAUAGGUUUCUAUGAGUGGAGAAGUUCUGGGCUUGGCCUGUAGCUGUGGUUUUGCUGGGAAUUAUGUACCUAAGUAAAAGUUAACCCAUGAUAGUCUUUUUGGGGUUGGGUUUAAGGGUCUGAUCUUUUAGUGAUGUUUUGGAGAAUUAGGGUACAGGUGUUUUGCUCUUGCAUUAUUUCUUUUGAGACUAGGGGGAAUAAUAAUCAUGCCAAUUCAUAGGUAAGGGCCAUUGAUGAAAGAGGUCAUGUAAAGGGGGGUUGAGUGGGCAAUCACAUCUUGACAAGGACCACUCUGUGGUCUCCCCAGCUAUCACACAUGACUCUGUCAAGGUGUUGUGGUCUGAUGGCUCCCAGCAGAUGAGCAUGCAUUUCCCUGUUUUACACAUUGCUCAAAAUUUACAGUCAAAGAAUCAUUGAAUGAAUUUCUCUUUGUGGUUUUAUCCAUCAAAGAAUCUUGCAUAUCUAACAUUAGAACCCCUGCUGGACCCAGAGAGGCUGAGUUAGAUCCUGCAUCCCCCCCUCUCUCUAAAGAACCCCUCUUCUCUGGAUCCCCUACACAUGUUCUUUAUAGCUUUUAUUCUAAGGCAUCUGAACCACUUAGAUAAACAGAUUUCUUUUCUCACCUUCUUCAAUUUGUCAAACUUCCACCCAGACAUUUUUCUUUAACUCUUACCUUCUUUCGUAGAACCGACACCAAGUAUUAGUUCCUAGGCAAAAGUGCAUCAAGGGCUAGGCAACUGGUGUUAAGUGACUUGCCCAGAAUCACACAGCUAGAAAGUGUCUGAGGCCACAUUUGAAACCAGGAAUUCCUGUCUCUAGGCCUGGCUCUCUAUCCACUGAGUCAUCUAACUGUCACCCAUCCUGACAUCUUAGAGAAAAAUUAUUUACUUAGAUUUGGACUUAUGUUUCAGUCUCCCCAAAGGGGAAAAAUGUUACUUAAUGGACAUAGAAAAUCAGACAUGAGACAGAUGUUUAUUUUCUUUAUUCAAAAGAAAUACUAACAGACACAAAAGACAGAACAACUUAAAGGACUUCUAAAACAGUAAACAUAGUGACUACAAUUGGUUGGGAGACUGAUACUUAAUCCUCAUGUAAAUAAGAAGCAAUUUGCAGGACAGCUGAUUAGAAAGUUCUCCUUUCACCUUGCCUCUGCACUGUCUCCCUCAAAGUUCAUGUGUUUUAAUAAGCCAGGUCAGGACUUUGGGGCCCUUCUCCGAUUAGUAGCUGUCCUUACAGAUGCAGAAGUUUCCUUUACUGUCAGUCAAGUCAAUACAUGGUAUUGAUUCCAAGACAGAAGGUAAUGAUUUAAAAAGAAAAAAGAAAGGCUAUGUCAAUUAAUUGCUACUUUCAGCAUCUUUAUGAUUUUCCAGGCCAAAAUAUUCCUUCCUGCCCAUGAUUCUCCUAUAUAUAUUGACUUUUCCUAUUAGACUGUAAGCUCCUUGAGGGCAGUGACUGUAUUAAUUUUUUAUAUUUGUACUCCUGAUAAUUAAUAAAGUAUAUGAUACAUGGUAAAUAUAGAUUUUUAAACCUUUACCUUCCACUAUAGAAUCAAAACUAUGUACUGUUUCCAAGAAGAGCGGGAAGGACUAAGCAAUGGGAGUUAAGUGGCUUACCCACAGUCACAUGGCUAGGAAGUGUCUGAAGUCAAAUUUGAACCCAGGACCUCCUGUCUCUAGACUUGCUCUCAAUCUACUGAGCCAUCCAACUGCCCCCAUGUGCUACCUAGCUUCCUUGAGUUCUUGGACCCUGCUAAAGAGCUGUAAGAGGUGGAGUCAACAAGCAUUGAGGUUUCUGGGAGGAAAUGGAACCUUAAGGACUCAGGUAAGGGAAAUUGAAGAGCUUGACCUUGGAAGUUUCAAAAGACAGGAGAAUGAGCUAUCAGAAGUCCAGGUGUCUGGAAUUAAGCUCAUGUGGGAUUUUGCAACCACCCUAGCAGCAACGACCAAGAGAGGUACAAGAUGGCACAGUGGACAUUAGACCUGAAGUCAGAAAGAUCUCUAUGGUGGCUACCAGGCAAAUAUUUCCUAGUUUGGCCAUAAACAGAUUUUCAUCUACUAAUCUAUGAUCUCAGCCACAAAUAUUCUAACAUUAAAAUUGAAAGACUAAUGAAAUGGAGACAUGAUCUGAUAAUCAUAAGAGAAUUCAUACCACAAGUCAAAUAGUCAUUCCCACUAUAUUUAAGACUUCAUAUCAGUUUUAUUUUCACAAUGUUCUUGAAACUCUUGAUAAGUAAGACUUCAUGGAGGGAUGUUUUGCAUUACUAGGGAUAUUUGUUACAAGGGUUUUGUUUUUCUAAUGGGGGUAGAUUGAGGAGCAUAGGGGAGAUGAUGGAAGAGAAAGAAAAUAAAUAUAAAUAUUUCAUUUUAAAAAAUACUUCAUUUAAAAAAAGAUCACCUGGGUUAGGAAAAGGUAUACCAUAAUGCUACUUGAUGAAAAUUAUCCAAUAAUCUGAAGCAAAUAUUUUUAUUAAUGCAUAAUAAAUCCACCCAAAUGAUCAUCAUACCUACUAGUAAUUAAAUACAGUCAUUUUGUGCUCCAAUCUGGACUAAUAAUAACAUAACUCAAAGUAUUCCUUUACUAAAUUAAAAAAAAACAUGCCUUGAUCAUGGCAUGGAAGCAGUCCUUUGUCUUCACUGGACUUCAGCACUGUAGUACAAAUUCUAUUAGGUCUUAGAACAAUGGAAAUCCCCCUUUUUAGAAAUUUAAACCCUUACCUUCCCUCUUAGAAUCAAUAGUGUGUAUUGGUUCCAAGGCAGAAGAGUGGCAAGGGCUAGGCAAAGGGGGUUAAGUGACUUGACCAGGGUCACAUAGCUAGGAAGUGUCUGAGGUAUUAUAUUUAAAUUAAUAUCUCCAAGUUCUUAUUUUCCAUAAAGUUUAUUAAUAUUCACUUGAAAUAGAUAAGGGAGAUAAGCAUAGAUUUAAAGUCUCUUCCUUACUCUAAGUCUGACCAUGUGUAGCCCAUUCUGCCAGAUCCCUUGGUCCAGACCUUUACUUGCCUCCUCAAGGAAGUAGAGAGUGACCACCUAUACCCUUUUAUUUAGGUGCCCAGAGGCAGUGCUGGCAUGUAAAAAUGGAAUGGAUCAGGCUGGCAAUCCAGGAGGGGGAGGGGAUUAAAUUCCCUCUACACAGAGGUCAGACUUGAACGUAGGAUCUCUGAUCUCUAGGCCUGGCUCUCAAUCCACUGAGCCACCCAGUUUCCCCAAAAACCUUUUUAAGGAUGGAUCUGCUAAAACACAGUAUGAGUGUCACCCAAGAACAUUGUUGUUGCCAUUGUUCAGUCAUUUUGAUCACAUCCAACUCUAUGUGAUCCCAUUUGGGGUUUUCUUGGCAAAGAUACUAGAGUGGCUUGCCAUUUCCUUGUCUAGCUCUUCUUAUAGAUGAGGAAACUGAGACCAAAAAAGGGUUAAGUGACUUGCCCAGGCUACACAGGUAGGAAGCAUCUGAGGUAAAAUUUGCACCCAGGAAGAGCAGUCUUCCUGACUCCAGGCCUGGAACUCUAUCUGCUAUGCCACCUAACUAUCCAUUCAUUUGCUAUGAUUAUUACCUAUACAAGUAGAGCCAAAAGGGAUCUUAGUGAUGAUCAACUCUAAACCUUGUCAGUUUACAGAUGUAGAAAAUGAGACCCCCAAAAGGUUAAAUGCUUUGCCCAAGGUCAUAUAAAUAUGGAAAUAAUAGAACCUGGAUUCAAAUUCAGGCUGUUUGACUCCAGAUCUAACAUUCUUUACAUAGGAGCAUAUCUGUUUCUCUGCCUCUGUCUAUGUUUAUCUCUCUUUCUCUGUAUCUCAUAAAAACAGAGCAGCUAAUAAAUUCUUGCUACCUUGAUGAUCACUUCAUUUCUCUAUAGAUAAAGGAAGUUACAAGGAGAACCACUAUUCUGGGCCUGAUUGUGACCAGUAAAAAUAAAUUGAUUGUUUCUUUUUGUUUGAAUCAGAAACAAUGGGAAACUUGCAAGAAAUAACUGCACCAUUUUAGAAUUCUUAAUGAAUGAGGAGGAAACAGUCAGGCAGAGUCCAAUCUGUACCCUAGAUUUUUAGAAGUUAGUUCUCAAAAAGUUUAGCAAAAGUCUAGGUAGAGGGGCAGUUAGGUAGUUCAAUGGAUAAAGAGCCAAGCCUGGAGACCAGAGGUCUUGGUUCAACUGUGACCUCAGACACUUCCUAACUGUGUGAGUCUGGCCAAGUUACUUAACCCCAAUUGUCUAGCCCUUUCUGCUCUUCUGCCUUAAAAUUGAUUCUCAGUAUAAAUUCUAAAACAGAAGGUAAGGGUUUAAAAAUGAAAGAAAGAAAAGACAAUUAAUUACUUGGUAAAAGAGGCAUAGAAAUUACUGAAGAAAAUAGCAUUAAAAAAAAAACAGAAUUGGCCAAAUGGUAUAAGAGAUACAAAACUUCACUAAUCAAAAUAAUUUCUUAAAAGGCAAAAUUGACCAAAUUGGGGGGGGGAGGUACAAGAACUUACUGAAACAAACAAUUACUUAAAAAUUAGAAUUGGGCAAGUGGAAGCUAGUGUCUAUAUGAAACAUCAAGAAACAAUAAAACAAAGUAAAAAGAAUUUUAAAAAAUAGAAGAAAACAUAAAAUAUCUCAUCAGAAAAAAAAACAACUGACCUGGAAAAUAGAUUGAUUAAAGGUAAUUUAAGAAUCAUUGGACUAGGGGAAGCUAGGUAGCAUAGUAGAUAGAGCAUCAAGCUUUGAGUUGAGAAGACCUGGAUUCAAAUCUGAUCUCAAACACUUCUUAACUAUGUGACCUGAGCAAGUCACUUAAUCCCAAUUGCCUAGCACUUGUGACUCUCCUAUUUAGAAAUGAUACUAAGAAAGAAGGUUAGAGUUUUUUAAAAAAAGAAUUAUUAGACUACAUGAGAGCCAUCAUGAGAAAAAAGGCUAGACAUUAUAUUUCAUGAAAUUAUGAAAUUUUAUCCAGAGGAUAAAAUAGAAAUUGAAAUAUUCUCCCAAGAUCCUAAAAUGAAAACUCUCAGUAAUAUUAUGGCCAAAUUUCAGAGUUCUCAGAUAGAGGAGAAAAUACUGCAAGUAGCCAGAAAGAAAGAAUUUAAAUAUUAUGGGCCUACAGUCAGGAUCAUAUAAGAUUUAGUAGCUUCUAUGUUAAAGGAGUAGAAGGCUUAGACUAUGAUAUUCCAGAAGACAAUGGAGCUAUGAAUACAACCAAGAAUAACCUACCAAGUGACAAUGAGUAAAAUCCUUCAGGGGAAAAAUUGAUAUAUAAUAAAAUAGAGGUCUUUCAGGCAUUUCUAAUGAAAAGACUAGAGCUGAAUUUUAAAAAAAUUGAACUUUUAAACACAGGGCUCAAGAGAAGCAUAAAGACAUAAACAGGAAAGAGAAAUCAUAAGGACUCCUUACAUUUCUUUAUGGAAAGAUGGUACAUAUAACUCCUAAGAACUUUAUCAUUAUUAGGGUAGUUAGAAGGCAUAGUUGUGAGUCAAUUAUGUUGGAAUGAUCUAAAAAAAAAGGAGUGAGAAUGAGGGAUGCAUUGGGAGAGGAGAGAAGAGAGAGACAGAUGGGGAAAUUUUUCUCACAUAAAAGAAACACACAAGGUAGAGAAAAUGGGGCAGGGUGGCAGGCAAUGCUUGAACCUCAUUCUCAUCAGAAUUAGAAUUGGUUCAAAGAGGGAAGUAUUUAUGUACACUCUCAGUUCAAUAUAGAAAUCACUCUUUCCCAACAGAAAUAUGAGGUAAAGGAGAUAGGAGAAAGAGGGGAGAAUGAUGGAAGGUGGAUUAAAGGAAGCAGUGGUCAGAAACAACACAAUUUUGAGGAGGAACAGGGGAGGGGGAGAGAGAGAGAGAGAGAAUGAGAGAGAGAGAGAGAGAGAGAGAGAGAGAGAGAGAGAGAGAGAGAGAGAGAGAGAAGGAUAAACAAAAGAAAACAGGAUUGAGGGAACUACACAACUAGUAACCAUAUCUGGGAAUGUGAAUGGGAUGAGCUUGCCCAUAAAACAGAAGUAUAUAGCAGAAUGGAUUAGAACAUAGAAUGCAACAAUAUGUUGUUUACAAGAGACACUUGAAACAGAAAGACACACACAGAUUUAAAAUAAGAUGCUGGAACAAAAUCUAUUAUGUUUCAGCUAAAGUAAAAAAGGCAGUCAUGAUCUCAAACAAAAUUAAAGCAAAAGGAGACCUAAUUAAAAGUGAUAAUUAGGAAAACUAUUUUUUGCUUUAAAAAAGCACCAUAGACAAUGAAGCAAUAUAAAUUUUUUUUAUUGCAGGUAUCUCUGAUAAGGGCCUCAUUUCUCAAAUAAAUGGGGAACUGAGUGAAAUAUAAAAGCAAGAGCCAUUCUCCAAUUGAUAAAAGAUCAAAGGAGAGUAAAGAAAGGGCAGAAGGAUCUAUAUGUACACAAAUAUUUAUAGCAGCUCUUCUUGUGGUUUUCAGAAGAAUAAUUAAAGCUAUCUAUAGUCAUAUGAAAAAAUGUUCUAAAUCACUAUUGCUUAGAGAUAUACAAACUACUCUGAGUUGUGUUAUAAGGAAAGGAAGGAGCAAAAGAUCCUGCAAAGGCAGAAGCAGGAAGGUUCUAGAACUCUGGAGAAGUGACAGGGCUGUUGCUUCUUCUAAGAGAAAGUUGAGCAGGCAGAAGGUUGAGUUUCUGUCUAGUCUUCUAGGAUGGACCUAGAGAGCUAGAUAUUCUCUCUCCUGUGACUUUCCUUGUGAUCCAACCUGUUCCUGUGUAUCCUGUGGACUGAUUGAGAUAUUCCUACUGAGCUGCUGAAGACACCAAAAGCCAUCUGUCAGUGAGACCAUCCCUUUGAGUCCUGUUCCUGCUUACCUUCCUACCCUACUACCUCUAUCAUCCAAGGGGAAAUUUGGGUUAGAGAAGUAUAUUGUAUUAUAGGAAUUGGGACCUUUAGGUAGAGAGGUGACUGACAGUGCAGAUACCAUCUCUCUGAGGUUUAUCAGUUUGUUUUGAGGGGAGAUUUAUUUAUGUUCUUUAGUUAUCCCAUAAUCUUUUUAUAUUUUCCUUGGUUAUUAAAUCAAACUGUCCUUUUAUUAUGUAGUAUCUGUGUUUAUUAACUCAGGGUCUGACUCUGGACUGGUAUACCCUUCCCAAACCAGAUUACUGGCCCUAUAAUACCACCCUUGAACCUACAAGUGUCAAAUUCGUUAUUUCAAUUAGGUAUUUCAGUCAUCACCUCACAUCUAUCAGAAAUAAUAAAUACUGUAGAGGAUGAAGGAAAAUAAAUAGCUACACUAAUGAACUCUUAGUAGAUUACAAUCAUUCUGUAGAACAAUUUGGAAGUAGGCCCCAAAAGCUAUAAUAUCGUGUAUAACCUUGGACCCAGCAAUAUCACUUGUAGAUCUGUGCCCCAAAGAAGUAAAAGGAAAAGGGAAAGGAUUGACAUAUUAAAAAAAUACUUAUGACAGUUCUGUCUGUGAUGGCAAAGAACUGGAAUCUGAAGGGAUAUCCAUAAAUUGGGUUGUGGUAUAUGAUUGUGAUGGAGUACUAUGGUGCUAUAAGAAAUGACAAGGGGAUGGUUUCAGAAAAACAUGGGAAGAUCUAUUUGAACUGAUAUGAAGUGAAAUGAGAAGAACCAGGAAGUCAUUGUACACAGUAACAAUAAUAUUGGGAUGAUGAUCAGCUAUGAAAGACUUAGUUACACUGAUAAAUACAAUGAUCCAAGAUAAUUCCAAAGGACUCAUGAUUUUUAAAAAAUGCUAUCUAUAUUACAAAGCAGCAGUCAUCAAAACAAUUUGGUACUGGCUAAGAAACAGAAAGGAAGAUCAGUGGAAUAGACUGGGGGAAAGCGACCUCAGCAAGACAGUAUACGAUAAACCCAAAGAUCCCAGCUUUUGGGACAAAA